CAAGUCAAGGGGGCCCGCAAGGGCAACCGGCGAACGGGUGCGUAACACGUGAGCAAGUUUCCGAUUUGUGGGGGAUAGCCGGCCCAACGGCCGGGUAAUACCGCAUACCUUCACCGGGUGGCAUCAUCUGGUGAGGAAACCUCCGGGGCAAAUCGAGGCGCUCGCGGCCUAUCAGCUAGUUGGCGGGGUAAUGGCCCACCAAGGCUAUGACGGGUAGCUGGUCUGAGAGGAUGGCCAGCCACAUUGGGACUGCGACACGGCCCAGACUCCUACGGGAGGCAGCAGUGGGGAAUAUUGCGCAAUGGACGAAAGUCUGACGCAGCGACGCCGCGUGUGGGAUGAAGCCUUUCGGGGCGUAAACCACUGUUGCCCGGGACGAACAUCCUCUUUCGAGAGGACUGACGGUACCGGGUGAGGAAGCACCGGCUAACUCUGUGCCAGCAGCCGCGGUAAUACAGAGGGUGCGAGCGUUGUCCGGAAUCACUGGGCGUAAAGGGCGCGUAGGUGGCUUGGUAAGCGUGUGGUGAAAGUCCGGGGCUCAACCCCGGAUCUGCCGUGCGAACUGCUAAGCUCGAGCGAUGUAGAGGCAGGUGGAAUUUCGGGUGUAGCGGUGGAAUGCGUAGAUAUCCGAAAGAACACCAGUGGCGAAGGCGGCCUGCUGGGCAUCAGCUGACACUGAGGCGCGACAGCGUGGGGAGCAAACAGGAUUAGAUACCCUGGUAGUCCACGCCGUAAACGAUGGGUACUAGGUGUCUGGGGGAGCGACCCCCUGGGUGCCGGCGCUAACGCAUGAAGUACCCCGCCUGGGGAGUACGACCGCAAGGUUGAAACUCAAAGGAAUUGACGG
rnacentral:rRNA from 1 species